rnacentral:rRNA from 1 species
GGGGGGGGGGGGGGGGGGGGGGGGCGCGGGCGGGGCGGGCGGCAGCGCAGUGAGAGCUUGCUCUCACGGGUGGCGAGUGGCGGACGGGUGCGGAAUCCAGCGGAAUCUAGGUUUUCGUGGGGGAUAACGUAGGGGAACUUACGCUACUACCGCAUACGCCCUACGGGUGAAAGCAGGGGAUCUUCGGGCCUUGCGCGAUUGAAUGAGCCGCUGUCGGGUUAGCUAGUUGGCGGGGUGCAGGCCCACCACGUCGCGGCUCCGUAGCUGGUCUGCGAGGAUGAUCAGCCACCCGGGAACGUGAGCGCGGUCCAGGCUCCUACGGGAGGCAGCAGUGGGGAAUAUUGGACAGUGGGCGCAAGCCUGAUCCAGCCAUACCGCGUGGGUGAAGAAGGCCUUCGGGUUGUAAAGCCCUUUUGUUGGGAAAGAAAAGCAGCAGGUUAAUACCCCGCCGUUCUGACGGUACCCAAAGAAUAAGCACCGGCUAACUUCGUG